rnacentral:piRNA from 1 species
UUAAAUUAAGCCUUUGAGUCCUUAUUUCC